UUUGCACUGCUAGCACAAGUGCUCUGUUGACAGAGUCCUGUUAGCAGCUCACCAACCAUAGAGAAUUGCAGUUCCCUGGAUGGGAGGUGAUUUUGCACAGUCAGACAAAAAGAAAGUCAAGGCUGAAGGCGGAAAAAGAGAGACUUCUUUAGAAGCAGUGAGAAAAAGAAAGGGAGAGGGCAGAGAAGGAUUGAGGAAGGAGAACAUGAAAAAGGAGACCGGAGAAAGAACAAUUGUUAAAGGACAAGCUUUGCCACUGUCUCCUUGGCUGUGACCUGCCUGAAUGGGACAAAGUGUUUACUCUCUGCAUGCUGCUAUGCACUGAGUGCCAGGUAAAAAGACUGAUCUUCCACACCCUGGCAGUAACAUCUCUCUUGUGCAGUGUCAGCAGGAAACAAAUCUGCUAAACCUAGACUCAUUCCCUGGGUUUCAAAGGAGCCUUGUGAAGAAUCAGAAUUGGGUUGCAUUAAGUUUGAACUUAUCUAGAAAUGGGAGUUAUUUCAAAGAAAUGAAAGUAAGAAGUUUUUAUCUCAGAUGUGAGAAAUUUGCAGCCCAUUCCAGCCUGGUGGAGAUUAAGUCUCCAGUCCUUCAGUAACAUCCUGAAAACAACUCUACAAGAGAGCUGUCAGAAGAUGCUAUCCAAAAUUUUGGUGGGCUAGUGGAUGAAACCAAAUCUUGCUUAUUAUUGGUUGUUUGGCAUCAACUGGAGAGUGAGUGAUUUGUAGUGACCGACCACAAGGAAAGGUGGAAGUGGACUUGAAUUGACAAGUAACACCAGAGGAGUCUAGAGAAACCAGCCCUUGGAAGUGUUAAGUGUUAAGGAGUGAGCCAGGGGUACUGAAUCUACUCACACUGUGAAGAGAAUGGAUUGCAAACAGACAUUAAGAGGACUUGGUGUUGAUGGCUGAUGAAAAGUUCAAUAUGAGACAGUAAUAUGCACUGCAGCACAGAAAAAUGACUGUAUCCUGGGCUGAAUCAAAAAAUGUGAAGGACAGGCCAAAAGAGGUGAUUCUCCUCUUCAACUCUGCUCUUGUGAGAUCCCACCGAGAGUACUGCAUUCAGCUUUGAGCCCCUGCAGAAGAAGGACAUGGACCUAUUGGAGUGAGACCAGAGGAGGAUCUGAUGAUGAGAGGGUGGGAGCACCUCUCCUUUGAAGACAGGCUGAGAGAGUUGGGGUCCUUCAGCCUGGAGAAGAUUCCAGACAGACCUUAUUAGUGGUCUUCCAGUACCUAAAGGGGUCCUACAAGAAAACGAUGAGAAGAGAGACAUUUUACAAGGGUAGGCAGUGAUAGGAGUAGGGUUAAUGACUUUGAACUGAAAGAAGGUAGAUUUAGAGUAGAUAGAAGGAAGAAAUUAUUAAUGAUGAGGGUGUUGAGGCCCUGGAACAUUUUGCUCAGAGAAGAUGUGAAUGCCUCAUCCCUGGAAGUAUUCAAGACCAAUUUGAACAGGGCUUUUAGCACCCCGGACUAGUGGAAGGUGUUCCUGCCCAUGGCAAUGAGAUUGGAACUAGACUGUCUCUAAGGUCCUUUCCAAUAUAAACUGUUCUCUGAUUAUAUGAUUAUAUGUUAAUCAAGACAAAAUGACAGUACAAUCAUACGCAGUCACAGAGGACGGGAAGAGUCCAUGUUGCCAAGCUACACGGGAUGUUUGCAGAAGAGCAGAUGCUAAUCAGGACAUAGAGAGCAGAGGAAGCCCAAGGCACAUGCAUAUCUGAGUUGAAUCAAAGUUUACAAAUGCAGACGCAUAACUUGUUCACCGAACAGAUGCAGCAUCUCUUUUUAAAGAGCUGUCUACAGGAUCAAAGAAAUGAGAGAAGAUGUAGUGGCAAAAUGGUGUGACUGCCUGUCCCAAACUCUACCAGAACCCUGGAAAUAGACAUACAAGACCUCAGUCUUCCUAUCCAUCUGUUGUAUGCAAAUAGCUGAGAAAAUCCUACCCGAAAUGAGUGUCCUACUCAUUCCCCUUCUGUAUGGGAACUGCUGAAUAACGGCCUGAUCAACCAGAGGUUGAUCACCCGAGGCAAGCAGUGAGUCAGCCAAGGAGCACAGGUGAAGGCAAUUCACCUGUGCUGCCGGAAAGGGUGGAGCCUUGCUCCACUUCUCCUGGACCCAUUUAAGAGUUGACUGCCAGUGGAGAAGGAUCUCUUCUGGAGAUCUCUCCUCUGGAGUUUUGUAGUGAGCCCAGGACGCAGGUAAG